AGGGGUCACACCUGUUCCCAUACCGAACACAGAAGUUAAGCCCUUCAGUGCCGAUGGUACUUGGCUGGUAACGGCCCGGGAGAGUAGGUCGCCGCCG
rnacentral:rRNA from 1 species